rnacentral:rRNA from 1 species
GACGAACGCUGGCGGCGUGCCUAAUACAUGCAAGUCGAACGCUUUUUCUUUCACCGGAGCUUGCUCCACCGAAAGAAAAAGAGUGGCGAACGGGUGAGUAACACGUGGGUAACCUGCCCAUCAGAAGGGGAUAACACUUGGAAACAGGUGCUAAUACCGUAUAACACUAUUUUCUGCAUGGAAGAAAGUUGAAAGGCGCUUUUGCGUCACUGAUGGAUGGACCUGCGGUGCAUUAGCCAGUUGGUGAGGUAACGGCUCACCAAGGCAACGAUGCAUAGCCGACCUGAGAGGGUGAUCGGCCACACUGGGACUGAGACACGGCCCAGACUCCUACGGGAGGCAGCAGUAGGGAAUCUUCGGCAAUGGACGAAAGUCUGACCGAGCAACGCCGCGUGAGUGAAGAAGGUUUUCGGAUCGUAAAACUCUGUUGUUAGUGAAGAACAAGGAUGAGAGUAAAAUGUUCAUCCCUUGACGGUAUCUAACCAGAAAGCCACGGCUAACUACGUGCCAGCCGCCACAGUAA